GUAAGGAAUAUUGGGCAAUGGACGCAAGUCUGACCCAGCCAUGCCGCGUGCAGGAUGACGGCCCUACGGGUUGUAAACUGCUUUUGUACGGGAAAAAACCCCUGGUCGUGCACCGGGGCUGAUGGUACCGUAAGAAUAAGCAUCGGCUAACUCCGUGCCAGCAGCCGCGGUAAUACGGAGGAUGCAAGCGUUAUCCGGAUUCAUUGGGUUUAAAGGGUCCGCAGGCGGAUCAAUAAGUCAGGGGUGAAAGCCUACGGCUCAACCGUAGAACUGCCCUUGAUACUGUUGAUCUAGAGUACAGUUGAGGUGGGCGGAAUGUGUCAUGUAGCGGUGAAAUGCAUAGAUAUGACACAGAACACCGAUCGCGAAGGCAGCUCACCAAGCUGUAACUGACGCUCAGGGACGAAAGCGUGGGGAUCAAACAGGAUUAGAAACCCUAGUAGUCC
rnacentral:rRNA from 1 species